rnacentral:rRNA from 1 species
UACGUAGGGGGCGAGCGUUGUCCGGAAUCAUUGGGCGUAAAGCGCGUGUAGGCGGCCCGGAAAGUCUGGUGUGAAAUCUUGGGGCUCAACCCCAAGCGGUCACUGGAUACUGUCGGGCUUGAGUACGGAAGAGGAGAGUGGAAUUCCUGGUGUAGCGGUGAAAUGCGCAGAUAUCAGGAGGAACACCAAUUGCGAAGGCAGCUCGCUGGGACGUUACUGACGCUGAGACGCGAAAGCGUGGGGAGCAAACAGG